GAUGAACGCUGGCGGCGUGCCUAAUACAUGCAAGUCGAGCGAACGGACGAGAAGCUUGCUUUUCUGAUGUUAGCGGCGGACGGGUGAGUAACACGUGGAUAACCUACCUAUAUGACUGGGAUAACUUCGGGAAACCGGAGCUAAUACCGGAUAAUCUUUUGAACCGCAUGGUUCAAAAGUGAAAGACGGUCUUGCUGUCACUUAUAGAUGGAUCCGCGCUGCAUUAGCUAGUUGGUAAGGUAACGGCUUACCAAGGCAACGAUGCAUAGCCGACCUGAGAGGGUGAUCGGCCACACUGGAACUGAGACACGGUCCAGACUCCUACGGGAGGCAGCAGUAGGGAAUCUUCCGCAAUGGGCGAAAGCCUGACGGAGCAACGCCGCGUGAGUGAUGAAGGUCUUCGGAUCGUAAAACUCUGUUAUUAGGGAAGAACAUAUGUGUAAGUAACUGUGCACAUCUUGACGGUACCUAAUCAGAAAGCCACGGCUAACUACGUG
rnacentral:rRNA from 1 species